UACGGAGGGUGCAAGCGUUAUCCGGAUUCACUGGGGUUAAAGGGUGCGUAGGUGGAUUGGUAAGUCCGUGGUGAAAUCCCCGAGCUUAACUUGGGAACUGCCAUGGAUACUAUUAAUCUUGAAUGUCGUGGAGAUGAGCGGAAUAUGUCAUGUAGCGGUGAAAUGCUUAGAUAUGACAUAGAACACCAAUUGCGAAGGCAGCUCGUUACGCGAAUAUUGACACUGAUGCACGAAAGCGUGGGGAGCGAUCCGG
rnacentral:rRNA from 1 species